AACGAACGCUGGCGGCGCGCCUAAUACAUGCAAGUCGAGCGAGAAGACGUAGCAAUACGUUUGUAAAGCGGCGAACGGGUGAGGAAUACAUGGGUAACCUACCCUCGAGUGGGGAAUAACUAGCCGAAAGGUUAGCUAAUACCGCGUACGCUCCUUGGACUUCGGUUCAGGGAGGAAAGCGAUACCGUGGGUAUCGCGCUCUUGGAUGGGCUCAUGUCCUAUCAGCUUGUUGGUGAGGUAACGGCUCACCAAGGCUUCGACGGGUAGCUGGUCUGAGAGGACAAUCAGCCACACUGGCACUGCGACACGGGCCAGACUCCUACGGGAGGCAGCAGUAAGGAAUAUUGCGCAAUGGGCGAAAGCCUGACGCAGCGACGCCGCGUGGGGGAGUGAA
rnacentral:rRNA from 1 species